GCUUCCGCUUCCCAAGCAGUGACGUCACCGCGCUUGCUGGCGAUUGGCCCCAGGAAGGUUGCUGCAGCCAAUGGCCUCGCCAGGCGCGCUCGUCUUCAAAGUUCAUCUCCCCAGUGGAACUACCUCGGGAAAGAACUUGCCUGAGGGGUGGAGGGCACAGGGCCGGGAUCAAGGUCAGAGGUCCCUCGGGUUGGGAGUGGACACCUGGGGGCAGAAACCCGGGAGCUGGAUUUCAGACGAGAUCCGGCGCAUUGAAAAUACUUCCAAAAUUUCGAUCAAGCCUAACUUCCCGUGUGGAGAAAAAGGCAUUGCUGUUGGAACCACCAGACUGUCUCCCCAUUUCAGCGUGAGCUCUUUGCGGGCAGAGUCUAACUUCGCCGGCGCAGUAGAGGCCGGUUGAUCGAAUAAAUGAGUAGAUGUGGUCCAGUGGAAAUUGUGUCUAAACAGGUUUCUGAAAAACAAUAAGACAUCCCAUUGGUCAUUUUCGUUAACUCUAAGAACUGAACUUAAUAAGCCAACACUGCUAGCACCGAAGCCUUUAAUUGUAUUCAUUAUAAUUCUGAGGGGUAGAUACAAACAUCUCCCGUCUCACCCGCUUUUGUACAACUGAAGAAAUGGAUUUGGAAUUCAAGUUAAGAACAUCGGUUGGCUGCGGAGGCACUUGUGGAUAAGGCGACUCCAGCUCCUGGGAGGCCAGAGACUCGCGGUGUCGCACCAGUGGCUUAUCGGCAAGAAGCUCCUUAGGUUCCAGCUCUAUCCCUGGGUCCCUGCGACCCCAACCGGGUGGCAGCCAGCAGAGGGCGCUGCCGGGCAUGGCCGGAGAGCGACCCGGGGCUUGGUUCGGCUUCGGUUUCUGUGGCUUCGGACAAGCGCCGGGCUCCGGGCGAGGGCGCCAGGUGCGCAGCCCUGAGCCACUGCAGGCGGGUAUCGACAUAUGUCGCGUGAGCGCAAGCUGGAGCUACACCGCCUUCGUGACCCGUGCAGGUCGAGUGGAGCUGUCUGGCUCCACUAGUGGCGCGGUGGACGACUGCAGGGAUGCUUGGGCUUCGGAGGGACUCCUCAUGGUGAUUCGCUCCCGGACGGAUUCUGGGACUGAGCUGCAGGCCUGGGCGCCUGAUUCGGCGCUGCGCAGGGAGCCCCUUUGGACCCAGAAGCUGGCGCUUGAGGCUGAGGUGGAAGACAAAGCGCGAGAUGAGCCUGGAACUGGAUCGCUGCCCCUGCUGCCUUGCGCCUGCGCCUACGUGAGUCCGCAGCCACCCUUCUGCCGGUCCUUGGCCCCAGAGCUGCGGGCACGCCGGCUAGAGCUGGGCGCAGAGCACGUGUUGUUGCUGUGCGCUGCCGGCCAGGUGUUCUCCUGGGGCGGAGGCAGACACGGACAGCUGGGCCACGGGACACUGGAGGCAGAGCUGGAGCCAAGACUUUUGGAGGCGUUGCAGGGCCUACCCAUGGCCGAGGUGGCUGCUGGUGGCUGGCAUUCUCUGUGUGUGAGCGAAAUAGGGGAUAUUUAUAUCUGGGGCUGGAAUGAAUCAGGGCAACUGGCCUUGCCUGCGAGGAGCCUGGCAGAGGACAAGAAGACUUUUACAGAGGAAGGACUGAAUGGAGAUGGUUCUGAAGUGAAUAGAACAGCUAGGGCUGAGGAUGGAGCCUCCGCUCCCUUCAUAGCUGUACAGCCCUUCCCAGCUCUGUUGGAUCUUCCCCUGGGCUCAGAUGUAAUCAAAGCCAGCUGUGGAUCCCGGCACACUGCUGUAGUGACACGAACAGGAGAGCUGUACACCUGGGGCUGGGGUAAAUAUGGACAGCUUGGCCACAAGGAUAGCACCAGCAUGGAUCAGCCCUGCCGUGUGGAAUACUUUGUAGAGAAACAACUUCAAGUAAAGACUGUCACCUGUGGGCCCUGGAACACAUAUGUGUAUGCUGUGGAAAAAGAAAAGAGCUGACGUGUGUAUGCCAAAUCAAUCAAAUGGGCUUUGGGGAAAAAUAAAUCAAGAAAAACACCACAGUAUCUUUUUGAAAGGUCUUCCAGCCGAUCCACUUCUAACUGCAGCUGAAAGAAAAAGACAUAUUAAAGGUAUCUGCAACCUGUCCCAGAGUUCCCGGAUUUGAGCACGCAGUCCCUCACACACUGCUUCAUUUUGUGAUUUUCGCAUUUCCAGCUGUAGCAAGGAAAGGCUGUGAUUAAAGCAAAACAGUAACACAAAAGGCUGGCCCUCGGCAGCAAGGAAUGUCUGGACCCAAAUGAAGAAGCAGUAUUUAUAUUGUGAUUCCCAAGAGAAAUUUUUUGAUGCAUUCUAAACACAAGCUGUAAGGGUGUCACUGUGGAAGGAUCUCAGACAUCAAGAACAGGAUUCCAGGACAGGGGAGAUAGCUCAGCUGGUAGAGUGCUUACCUUGCAAGCACAAGGCCCUGAGUUCGAUCCCCAGUACCGCAAGAAAAGAACAGGAUUCCAGUUUUGAAUUGAAAUUUUUUUCAAUUAAACACUGUGCUUGAGGCUGAGGUUGUGGCUCAGUGGUAGAGCAUUUGCCUAGCAUGUGAGAGGCACCAGGUUCAAUUCUCAGCACCACAUAUAAAUAAAUG